rnacentral:rRNA from 1 species
GAUGAACGCUGGCGGCGUGCCUAAUACAUGCAAGUCGAGCGAACAGACGAGGAGCUUGCUCCUCUGACGUUAGCGGCGGACGGGUGAGUAACACGUGGAUAACCUACCUAUAAGACUGGGAUAACUUCGGGAAACCGGAGCUAAUACCGGAUAAUAUAUUGAACCGCAUGGUUCAAUAGUGAAAGACGGUUUUGCUGUCACUUAUAGAUGGAUCCGCGCCGCAUUAGCUAGUUGGUAAGGUAACGGCUUACCAAGGCAACGAUGCGUAGCCGACCUGAGAGGGGGAGCGGCCACACUGGAACUGCGACACGGUCCAGACUCCUACGGGAGGCAGCAGUAGGGAAUCUGCCGCAAUGGGCGAAAGCCUGACGGAGCAACGCCGCGUGAGUGAUGAAGGUCUUCGGAUCGUAAAACUCUGUUAUUAGGGAAGAACAAAUGUGUAAGUAACUAUGCACGUCUUGACGGUACCUAAUCAGAAAGCCACGGCUAACUACGU